GAUGAACGCUGGCGGCGUGCCUAAUACAUGCAAGUCGAGCGAACGGACGAGAAGCUUGCUUCUCUGAUGUUAGCGGCGGACGGGUGAGUAACACGUGGAUAACCUACCUAUAAGACUGGGAUAACUUCGGGAAACCGUAGCUAAUACCGGAUAAUAUUUUGAACCGCAUGGUUCAAAAGUGAAAGACGGUCUUGCUGUCACUUAUAGAUGGAUCCGCGCUGCAUUAGCUAGUUGGUAAGGUAACGGCUUACCAAGGCAACGAUGCAUAGCCGACCUGAGAGGGUGAUCGGUCACACUGGAACUGAGACACGGUCCAGACUCCUACGGGAGGCAGCAGUAGGGAAUCUUCCGCAAAGGGCGAAAGCCUGACGGAGCAACGCCGCGUGAGUGAUGAAGGUCUUCGGAUCGUAAAACUCUGUUAUUAGGGAAGAACAUAUGUGUAAGUAACUGUGCACAUCUUGACGGUACCUAAUCAGAAAGCCACGGCUAACUACGUG
rnacentral:rRNA from 1 species